UGCCGAACAGCACAGCGCAGCGUCGCGCAGCCCGCCUGGAGCCCCCUCCCUCCCUCCUCCCUCCCUCCUUCCAUCCAUCCCUCCCUCUCUCCUCCUCCUCCCUCGCUCCCGCCCGCCCGCCCGCCGCUCUGAAGGAUGCCCGGUAAGUAGCGACGAGGACCGGCACCUCUGCCGGUGCGCGAUGUGAGGGGUUAGGGACUGCUUAUACCGCUGCCGCCCGCCGGGGGGGCGCAGGGCGGGGGGGCGAGGGGAGGGGAGGUGACAGCGAUCCGAGGCAGGAGACGGCGGGGCUCGCCGGGUGCUCCUCAGAAGGACUUUUAGCUGCGUGGCCGGGGCUUGGAUGUGGGCGCCGAGGGACGGGGUCUGUGCACCGCAGCGGGCACCGGCCGGGGCGGGGGCGCUUCGCCUGCGCUGCGGGUUGCUGCCUGCAGCACCGCGCUGGCUUAAUCUAUACCUGAAAGAAAACGAUUUUGUCAGAGCGAUCUACUUCUGUACUACAAAUGAGUGGCUGGUGUAAUUCUAUCUGUGCAGCUCUUAUCACCAAACCUGCUAAGUGCAGCCAGGCUCUCAAGAUAACUUAUUUAUCAUAGGAAGAGGAAAGGUGUUCUGGAGUAAAGUAUACUCACUGGAAUACAGUUUUGCUGAUUUAAAUUUCCUUGUCAAGAGAAGUAUUUUGCUUGUCAUAUUCUACCACAAACAACUCUUACACAGGCUCUGACCUGAAAAAACUUUUUACUGUGUAAGUCUUAUCAGGUCUUAUACCGAUACAUCGCUUUCAAAUAAAAAAGUUAAAGUAAUAACUGCACUGGCUAUAUAAAGU
rnacentral:lncRNA from 1 species